rnacentral:tRNA from 1 species
GGUAACAUGGCUGAGUGGUAAAGCAUAGUAUUGCAAAUUCUAUAUACUCUGGUUCAAAUCCAGAUGUUACUU